rnacentral:lncRNA from 1 species
AUGCCUUUGCGAGGACUUUGCUGGCUUGUGUGCUGCAGACAAGGCUUCAGUUUGCUGGCUCGGGAUCAUGGGGAGAAAGAGGAGGAAGAGUCUUUCGAGUUACGCAAUCAGGACGAGCACACACACACUGGACGGGGGCAACUAGAGGUCACUCUGUCUCAGCCCACUCGCACAGCCAACGGCACACCCUGUCUCUCAGGAGUUCCUGAGGAGAAGAGAAGUCUCAUCACACAGAGGAGUAAGAUGACGAUGGACGAAGACAAUGAGGUGCUUGUGAAGGGUGAGGAAGAAAUUCUUCUACUUGAUAACUUUUAUUCAUCAGAUCAAGUCAUAUUUGUCAUAGCUAUAAAACUAAAUGUAUUGUUUGCAUGCAUUGGGGCAUUUGUGUGUAUUAUGUCCCUCUUGUUUUAUUCUGCUGGUUACUUGGAAUCAUUAAUCUGAAGUGAAUUAGAUAAGCACUUUUAAAGCAUGUAGAUUACAAUUUUAAAGGUUGAAAUGUGUUUAAACUUUGUGACACUCUGAUAACUUUAUCUUUAGUGAGUUAAUCUCAAAUCUGACUCGUAACUUUCUCUACCAGGGUGUAGCAGGCUAUACAAUACACACACACAAACACACACACACACACCUAAAUGAGGACAUACCAUAUAUUUCAAUUGUCUUUAUAUAAAGAUAUUUAUAAUUAGUAUAAACUAACCCAAAUAGACUAACAAGAAAAUUAAGCAAUAUUGUUUACAGAUAUUAAUGAUUUUUAACCAUAUCAUUAUUAGUAAUUAUCAGGUGUAGAGAUAAACAUACAACUAUUCAAAAGUUAGUUAUUAAAAAACUCACCAAGGCUGCAUUUAUUUGAUCAAAAAUAUACAAAAUAUAAUGAAGCAGUAAAAAUAUUAUCAAAUAUUAUAAAGUAACUCUUUGUAUUUGAAUAUAUUUUCUAAUAUACUGAUUUACUGCUCUAGAAACAUUUCUCAUGAUCAGUUUGAAACCAUUUCUGCUCAAUAUUUUAAUGUAAAUCAAGAUCCUUUGAUGAAUAAAAGGUUCAAAAGAACAUUUAUUUGUAAUAGAAAUCUUUUGUAACAUAUUCAGAAUUUACAUUCACAAGUAAUACUAUGUCAAAAAACGAAACAAUAUUUAUCAGUUGACAAUACAUUGGUUAUUGUACACUUAAAAACAAUCAGUAUUAGUACAGUGGGUAUAGAAAAAAAAUCACAUUUUGUUGCUUUGCAGUCUGAAUUGAAGACGGACACAGUUUUUUGUUUAAUCCAGCUGCAUUUACUUAUAACAUCCAAGUGAAAGAUAUAACACCAGAACAAAAAUAAAAAAGGAUCUCCCCCUCCUAAAAAUGACUUGUAAAUAUCUAAAUAUGUAUAUAUUUUUUUAGAAAGUAUAUACUCAAAUGUACCAAAAGGAAGUUUUUGUUAGCUUUAGCUUGCUUUCGGGAUAGUCCCCAGUGCACACACAUGCAUCCGUUAUAGCUUGUGGUUUUAUCAGUGACACAUGAAUUGGCUGACACACUUCACACCAGUUGAGACAGUUAGACAUUGUUAAACAACACUGAAGCUGCUGACCACAGGUUUAAGUGUGUUAUUCAGAGUCCUCUAUGAUUUCAGAGUGUGUAAAUGUAAGUGCUGUGUGGUAUUUGCUGCACUGGAGUGGUAAUAAUACUCAGUCACAUGUAAUGAAUAAUAAUAAGCAGGGCAGAGUAAUAUUAGUGUAGAAGGGUCCAAAUACUCCGCCAGCCUGUCUCAUGCUGGCCUACAGAGCUGCUAAAUAAGACCGUCUUCCCCCAGUCUGUCUGGCUGACUCACACACACACACACACACACACACACACACACACACACACACACACACACACACACACACACACACACACACAACAACUAACUAAGUAACGGAAAGGUAAGGACGA